rnacentral:lncRNA from 1 species
GGUGCAUCAAUCAGGAAGGUUGGCGUGCAUUUUCAUUCGAAAUAUUGUGAAACUGUUGGUGUAGUUUGUGAGGCGUUUCUUCACGCCAUGAUAUAAAAGGAGCAUAUUUUGAGUAGUUAGUAACUUUUAGAAAACUUAAAGGAUAAGGUUUGAGAGUUUUUUGGUGAGAUUUUAGGGUUGAGAAACACAUCCUAAAUACAUUGGAUAGCGAGAAUUUAUUUGAGGAAGAUCUGAGUUUUCUCUCUUGUUUUCUUGAGUGUUCUUCUUUGAGGUUGAGAAAAAGGGAAAUUGUAAAAAUUGGAGUUUGUUUUUUGUGAACUCUUGAAGCUAAUUUCUUGCAAUUCUUUUAUAUUUUUUUGUAAAGACUCGUUUGUGGUAAAUCAGAGAGUUGUUUUCUCUGCUUUUUUGUAUUAUUUAGAUUCAUUGUCUGGAUUUUUCCUACAUAUAUGUCUAGAUUUGUUUUAGGUUGAAUAU